AUUGAACGCUGGCGGCAUGCUUUACACAUGCAAGUCGAACGGUAACAGGCCGCAAGGUGCUGACGAGUGGCGAACGUGUGAGUAAUGCAUCGGAACGUGCCCAGUCGGGGGGGAUAAUGCAGCGAAAUCUGUGCUAAUACCGCAUACGACCUAUGGAUGAAAGCGGGGGCCCGUAAGGCCCCGGGCGACUGGAGCGGCCGAUGUCAGAUUAGGUAGUUGGGGGGGUAAAGGCCUACCAAGCAGACUAUCUGUAGCUGGUCUGAGAGGACGACCAGCCACACUGGGACUGAGACACGGCCCAGACUCCUACGGGAGGCAGCAGUGGGGAAUUUUGGACAAUGGUCGCAAGCCUGAUCCAGCAAUGCCGCGUGCAGGAAGAAGGCCUUCGGGUUGUAAACUGCUUUUGUACGGAACGAAACGGUCUGGGUUAAUACCCUGGGCUAAUGACGGUACCGUAAGAAUAAGCACCGGCUAACUACGUGCCAGCCGCCGCCGUAA
rnacentral:rRNA from 1 species